rnacentral:tRNA from 1 species
GUCCUUCUAGUUCAUCGGUAGAAUAUCGCCUUUUCGCGGCGGGGAGACGGGUUCGAUUCCCGUGAAGGAUA